rnacentral:rRNA from 1 species
ACGGGUGAGUAACGCGUGGGAACGUGCCUUCCGGUUCGGAAUAACCCUGGGAAACUAGGGCUAAUACCGGAUACGCCCUUAUGGGGAAAGGUUUACUGCCGGAAGAUCGGCCCGCGUCUGAUUAGCUAGUUGGUGGGGUAGCGGCCUACCAAGGCGACGAUCAGUAGCUGGUCUGAGAGGAUGAUCAGCCACACUGGGACUGAGACACGGCCCAGACUCCUACGGGAGGCAGCAGUGGGGAAUAUUGGACAAUGGGCGCAAGCCUGAUCCAGCCAUGCCGCGUGAGUGAUGAAGGCCUUAGGGUUGUAAAGCUCUUUUAUCCGGGACGAUAAUGACGGUACCGGAGGAAUAAGCCCCGGCUAACUUCGUGCCAGCAGCCGCGGUAAUACGAAGGGGGCUAGCGUUGCUCGGAAUCACUGGGCGUAAAGGGCGCGUAGGCGGCGUUUUAAGUCGGGGGUGAAAGCCUGUGGCUCAACCACAGAAUGGCCUUCGAUACUGGGACGCUUGAGUAUGGUAGAGGUUGGUGGAACUGCGAGUGUAGAGGUGAAAUUCGUAGA